UUACGGCCAUAUCACGUUGAAACACUGGUUUUCAUACGAUCACCGAAGUUAAGCAACGUCAAGCUUGGUCAGUAGCUCGAUGAGUAACCGCUUGGAAAUACCAGCUGCUGUAAG